GUUUCCUUUACUUUGUUCUGCAGGGAGAGUUGCAGGUCAGGCACCUUCUUACUCCCUCUACACAGUAGAUAGUGAAGAUGCUAUGGCCCACCCACUGUUCCUUUAGCUACUCAGCAGAGCAGAAAAGUGAAACACAAGUCUGACACUAGAGGUAACAAGGUGGUCUGGAGGACAGGACUAAAUAGUUUCAACAUCCUCAUCUAGAGUAGAGAUACAACACAUUGUGACCGUGUGUCUCUGCCUGAUCCAACCAUGGAGUACCACUGUCCUGGAUAGGCCCUGACAGAUAAUCCUUCUGACUGGAAG